rfam:Streptomyces violaceusniger Tu 4113, complete genome.
CUUGAUGGACCCCAGCCACAGCGGGCGUCCCUCGUCCCGCUCCUGCCCGUACGUGGCCAGCAGCGCCUGGGCCUC